rnacentral:lncRNA from 1 species
GUUUUAUAAAGGGCAGUUCCCCUGCAAUGAUCUCUUGCCUGCCACCAUGUAAGACGUGCCUUUUCUCCUCCUUCACCUUCUGCCAUGAUUGUGAGGCCUCCCCAGACCUAUAAGUGGAACUGUCUCAGUGAGCACGUCUGAUCGGUGGCACCUGGGUCACGUGACCACCCCCUAGCUGCAAGGGAUGCUUGGAAGAGUGAGCACCUAGCAGGUUCAACAUCAGUGAUGGAGGUGUGCAGACUGUGCUUCAAAAGAUGGGGAGCCUCAGACCACUGCAGGGUGUUUAACCCUUCCUCAACUGAUGGAUAUUUAGGUUGCUCCCAGUGACCAUCUUGACCAUACUCCCUGUGCCUGUGUGUGGAUGUUUCACUAAGGGAGAUGCCACAUCAAGGAACUGCAGUGUUUCCCCCAAAAAUGUGAACUUACAGUUUUACUGGCUACUGUGAAAAUUGUCUUCCGGAGAGGCUGUUUCAAUUUACACUGCCACCGGCAGUAUAUCGGUGUGACCGUUUCCCAGUCUCCUUAACACUUUACAUCACCAAUCUCAUUCAUGUCAACCUGAGGCAUGGGAAAUGUUCUCGCAUUGUUGUUUUAAUUUGCAUUUGCCUGAUUACCAGCAUGGUUGAACAUCUUUCAUGUUUAUUUGCCAUCUGUAUUUUAUGUAAAUUGCCUAUUCACAUCCACUACCCAUUAUUCUAGUGGGUUUGUGGUUUUUUUCUUAUUGUUCUGCAGGAACUCUUUAUAUAUUGUG